GGAAGUCCGGUGGGAACCCGGCACGGUCGCGCCACUGUGUGCCGAGGCCUCCCCGGGCAAGGGGGGGUCGCGGCGAGUCAGAC
rnacentral:ncRNA from 1 species